AUUCAAACUUGCCUAGAAUGCAAACUGCCUGAACAAGCCUUUGCUUAAGCUCACCAAGCUGAAGGUAGCAGUACUACAGCAACUCCUCUGUGAUUGCAGUUGCAAGGGUGAGUGAGGCCAUGGCCCAGGUUCUAUCCUAUAAUGCUUUGUGGAGGCAUUACAUGACUGAUCUCAACACGAAUACAUGAACCUCAGAUCAUGUACCACACCGGGAUUCAUCCAGCACUUUGAGAGCAGACACCAGCAGCCAAGCAUUGUGGAUGUAAUCAGAACAUAUUUCAUUCCAUGGCACUCACGGUAAGGAGUUUCCUUCAUCUGCACAUGCCAUCUAUAGUGACGAUGCUCCUUUCCAGGUUGGAAACAGCUAGUACAAGCAACAAAACAAGUGGCUCAGUGUGAUGUAGCUGUCUAGAGAAGUGCCUUGUUGCACAUACCUCAGAGCAGUUUCACACCAGCUCAAUUUUGAGGGAGCUCCAUAUUCUCCAGGAAGACUUUGGCACGCAGUAGAUUCCCAGACUUCAUCUCUUCGUCUCAAAAUAAAAGCAUUGUGCUAGGAAUGGAAAUAUUUAGUUAUUUUCCUGUCAGUGCUGUAUAUUGUCAUUUUGUCUAUUUUUGACUAUGGUAUUUUUUUUUCUUUUCCCUGCAUCACCCUAAUGCCAAUGAAACUCAUUAUUUCCAAGUGUUUAGAGUCCCCAGAACAUGAACAGAGUAUGUCAGCUGCAAAUGAGGAUUUCUUCAUGUAGACAGGUAUUUGCCCCCAUAAGCUGCCUUGCUACACUGUUAACUGAAUUAACUGCUUUAAGAAGGACCCCAUACUUAGGAUGAAAACCUGAACCAACCUCCUUAAAUAUGUCUUUAAGGACCACCUAGUGGACAAACUUUAUACAGCAGUUUUAUGUAAUAGUAUCUCUGCACUACACACUCCACUCCUCUGGAAAAAAAGAAAACAAGCAAACCCAUGCUGGAUCUCUGUGGGAAUGUAAAGGAGAGGUGAAGAAAUGUACUCGGAUCCUUGCUACAAACUGUUAGAUAAUGUUCACUUUCUCUUGACAAAUGUCAGUGUAGAAAUAAAAUUUAUUUGCCCAAAUGGAUACAUUAAAAAAAAAAAUGCUGAUUUUGUUGCUUUUGUCUUACAUGGAGAAAGACUGGAACAGAUGGAUGUUUAAACAAAAAUGACAAAACCUGCUUCUACCAGAUAUGUGUCAAAAUUCGUGAAAUAUCUGCUUAGUUCUAGCAGGACUACAUUCUAUGCAACCAAGUGCUGUGUCUUCAGUCCCCCAUCCACAGUGAAUUGUAAAACAGAAGCAAGCAGCAUCUAUAUUAAAAACUAAUGAUGUAAAAAAUAUCUUCAGUAAUAAUAAUCUAAAAUGCUAGUAACCUCAGACAUGCUGCCUUCCUCCAUUAUGGAAAUUUAAAAAUGUAUUUUCUCAAUUCAACAGCAUCUACACAGUUAGCAAUACAUAUUCACCCUAUUAUAUAAAGCAUAGCUGGCCAUGUGAAAUGCAAAGCUAUCGCCUAUGUUAUAAAGAAUAAAGAUGUAUUUGUUUGUCUUUAUAGAAAGAUUUCCCCAAUUUAUCUUCAUUCAGAUUUGUUAAAUAUUCAUGUAUUCACUGCAGAAUCUUGCAUUUUUCCCUAUUCUGCACUCAGACAAAGUGUUAACAAGCGACCUCAACUAUAUUCUGCAUUUUUCUGUCAUUUGCUUGUUUCUAAAUAUAUCACGAAGCUCUUGC
ensembl:lncRNA